rnacentral:ncRNA from 2 species
AAUUUCGAACCGAAUUUUGGUUUCUAUUGUUUCAAUAGGAUUAAAAGGGAAUUCGGUGAAAUUCCGAAGCUGUUCCCGCAACUGUAAGCUACGCCUUAGUAAUUGGGUGCUUACUACAUCUUCAAAAACCACUGUUUAUGCUGAUAUAUUUUCAGCACUUGUCUUAAAGAUAAGUUUCAUAAAUGGGAAGGUAUGUAGUAAGACGCAAGUCAGGAGACCUGCCAGGUUCAUAACUAAAAU